rnacentral:rRNA from 1 species
AUUGAACGCUGGCGGCAGGCUUAACACAUGCAAGUCGAGCGGAGUGAUGGUGCUUGCACUAUCACUUAGCGGCGGACGGGUGAGUAAUGCUUAGGAAUCUGCCAUUUAGUGGGGGACGACAUUCCGAAAGGAAUGCUAAUACCGCAUACGUCCUACGGGGGAAAGCAGGGGAUCUUCGGACCUUGCGCUAAAUGAUGAGCCUAAGUCGGAUUAGCUAGUUGGUGGGGUAAAGGCCUACCAAGGCGACGAUCUGUAGCGGGUCUGAGAGGAUGAUCCGCCACACUGGGACUGAGACACGGCCCAGACUCCUACGGGAGGCAGCAGUGGGGAAUAUUGGACAAUGGGCGGAAGCCUGAUCCAGCCAUGCCGCGUGUGUGAAGAAGGCCUUUUGGUUGUAAAGCACUUUAAGCGAGGAGGAGGCUACUAGUACUAAUACUACUGGAUAGUGGACGUUACUCGCAGAAUAAGCACCGGCUAACUCUGUGCCAGCAGCCGCCGUAACAC